GGGGAAUAUUGGACAAUGGGGGCAACCCUGAUCCAGCCAUGCCGCGUGGGUGAUGAAGGCCUUAGGGUCGUAAAGCCCUUUCGCUGGGGAAGAUAAUGACGGUACCCAGUAAAGAAGCCCCGGCUAACUCCGUGCCAGCAGCCGCGGUAAUACGGAGGGGGCUAGCGUUGUUCGGAAUGACUGGGCGUAAAGCGCGCGUAGGCGGAUCGGUAAGUUGGGGGUGAAAUCCCGGGGCUCAACCCUGGAAUGGCCUUCAAGACUCCCGGUCUUGAGUUCGAGAGAGGUGAGUGGAAUUCCGAGUGUAGAGGUGAAAUUCGUAGAUAUUCGCAAGAACACCAGUGGCGAAGGCGGCUCACUGGCCCGAUACUGACGCUGGGGCACGAAAGCGUGGGGAGCAAA
rnacentral:rRNA from 1 species